UACGUAGGCAGCAAGCGUUGUUCGGAGUUACUGGGCGUAAAGGGUGUGUAGGCGGUUAUUUAAGUUUGGUGUGAAAUCUCCCGGCUCAACCGGGAGGGUGCGCCGAAUACUGAAUGACUUGGAGUGCGGGAGAGGAAAGUGGAAUUCCUGGUGUAGCGGUGAAAUGCGUAGAUAUCUGGAGGAACACCGGUGGCGAAGGCGACAUCCUGGACCAACACUGACGCUGAGGAGCGAAAGCCAGGGGAGCAAACGGG
rnacentral:rRNA from 1 species